CCUACGGGAGACAGCAGUGAGGAAUAUUGGUCAAUGGGCGGGAGCCUGAACCAGCCAAGUCGCGUGAGGGAAGACGGUCCUAUGGAUUGUAAACCUCUUUAGGCGGGGAGCAAUGCCGGGCACGCGUGCCCGGAGGGAGAGUACCCGCAGAAUAAGCAUCGGCUAACUCCGUGCCAGCAGCCGCGGUCAUCCGGAGGAUGCGAGCGUUAUCCGGAUUUCUUGGGUUAAAAGGGUGCGUAGGCGGAUUUUUAAGUCAGCGGUAAAAUGUCCGGGCUCAACCCGGGCCGGCCGUUGAAACUGGGGUGCUUGAGUGGGCGAUAAGUAUGCGGAAUGCGUGGUGUAGCGGUGAAAUGCAUAGAUAUCACGCAGAACUCCGAUUGCGAAGGCAGCAUACCGGCGCCCGACUGACGCUGAGGCACGAAAGCGUGGGGAUCGAACAGGAUUAGAUACCCCAGUAGUC
rnacentral:rRNA from 1 species